UGGGGAAUAUUGGACAAUGGGCGAAAGCCUGAUCCAGCCAUGCCGCGUGUGUGAAGAAGGUCUUCGGAUUGUAAAGCACUUUAAGUUGGGAGGAAGGGCAGUAAGCGAAUACCUUGCUGUUUUGACGUUACCGACAGAAUAAGCACCGGCUAACUCUGUGCCAGCAGCCGCGGUAAUACAGAGGGUGCAAGCGUUAAUCGGAAUUACUGGGCGUAAAGCGCGCGUAGGUGGUUCGUUAAGUUGAAUGUGAAAGCCCCGGGCUCAACCUGUGAACUGCAUCCAAAACUGGCGAGCUAGAGUAGGGCAGAGGGUGGUGGAAUUUCCUGUGUAGCGGUGAAAUGCGUAGAUAUAGGAAGGAACACCAUUGGAGAAGGCGACCACCUGGGCUCAUACUGACACUGAGGUGCGAAAGCGUGGGGAGCAAACAGU
rnacentral:rRNA from 1 species